rnacentral:rRNA from 1 species
CACGUAGGGUGCGAGCGUUGUUCGGAUUCAUUGGGCGUAAAGGGUGCGUAGGUGGCGCUGUAAGUCGGGUGUGAAAUUUCGGAGCUUAACUCCGAAACUGCAUUCGAUACUGCGGUGCUUGAGGACUGGAGAGGAGACUGGAAUUCAUGGUGUAGCAGUGAAAUGCGUAGAGAUCAUGAGGAAGACCAGUGGCGAAGGCGGGUCUCUGGACAGUUCCUGACACUGAGGCACGAAAGCUAGGGGAGCAAACAGG